AAAGUCGUAACAAGGUUUCCGUAGGUGAACCUGCGGAAGGAUCAUUACCGAGUACCGGGCGCAAGCCCGUACCCACACCCCGUGCUUACGCUCCGCGUUGCUUCGGCGGCCCCGCCCCUCGGGGCGCCCGCCGGAGGACCCACCAAACUCGAUGAAACCGGUCUGUCCGAGGAUACAUGAAUCAGUCAAAACUUUCAACAACGGAUCUCUUGGUUCGG
rnacentral:misc_RNA from 1 species